UACGUAGGGUGCGAGCGUUAAUCGGAAUUACUGGGCGUAAAGCGUGCGCAGGCGGUGAGCUGUGUCCGAUGUGAAAUCCCCGGGCUUAACCUGGGAACUGCGCUUGUAACUGGCAAGCUUGAGUGUGGCAGAGGGGGGUGGAAUUCCACGUGUAGCAGUGAAAUGCGUAGAGAUGUGGAGGAACACCGAUGGCGAAGGCAGCCCCCUGGGCUAACACUGACGCUCAUGCACGAAAGCGUGGGGAGCAAACAGG
rnacentral:rRNA from 1 species